UACAGAGGGUGCGAGCGUUAAUCGGAAUUACUGGGCGUAAAGGGCGCGUAGGCGGCCAACUAAGUCGGACGUGAAAUCCCCGGGCUCAACCCGGGAACUGCGUCCGAUACUGGAUGGCUUGAAUCCGGGAGAGGGAUGUGGAAUUCCAGGUGUAGCGGUGAAAUGCGUAGAUAUCUGGAGGAAUACCGGUGGCGAAGGCGGCAUCCUGGACCAUUACUGACGCUGAGGCGCGAAAGCUAGGGGAGCAAACGGG
rnacentral:rRNA from 1 species